rnacentral:lncRNA from 1 species
GAGUUUUAAUUGCUUUGCUGAUAGCUUUCUCUUACAGAUGAUAAUCUUGUUUAAUUGGGAAGCAACAACAGAAGCACUGCUCAUUGGCUCUUUCUCACCUUCCUACCUCUUCAUCCUUCCCUACCACCCUGCUGAGGUCUCCAAGGAAUGAGCUUGUACUUCUCCUUGCUGGAAACGGGAGUUUCUACCAGCCACCCUUUGAUCCAAGGAACAAGCAGAUGAAACGGUCUGACCUGACACCUUUGUGAAUCAGGCAGCCAUUUUGCAUGUGGAACAAAUCCAGCAAUGGUGCCUCAACAGCCAAAAGGCAACCCCAAAUCCAGUUUGCUUCCUUGCACAGGUAGACACAGCCUAUUUGCCCAUCCUGUCAUGCAAAUGAAAAGCCUGGUGGUAUUUCGGUAGCCCUUUCAUGAAGGGAGUUGGGAACGAAGCUCAGCUGCACCUUUGCCAAGGU